rnacentral:rRNA from 1 species
GAUGAACGCUGGCGGCGUGCCUAAUACAUGCCAGUCGAGCGAACAGAUGAGGAGCUUGCUCCUCUGACGUUAGCGGCGGACGGGUGAGUAACACGUGGAUAACCUACCUAUAAGACUGGGAUAACUUCGGGAAACCGGAGCUAAUACCGGAUAAUAUAUUGAACCGCAUGGUUCAAUAGUGAAAGACGGUUUUGCUUUCACUUAUAGAUGGAUCCGCGCCGCAUUAGCUAGUUGGUAAGGUAACGGCUUACCAAGGCAACGAUGCGUAGCCGACCUGAGAGGGUGAGCGGCCACACUGGAACUGAGACACGGUCCAGACUCCUACGGGAGGCAGCAGUAGGGAAUCUUCCGCAAUGGGCGAAAGCCUGACGGAGCAACGCCGCGUGAGUGAUGAAGGUCUUCGGAUCGUAAAACUCUGUUAUUAGGGAAGAACAAAUGUGUAAGUAACUAUGCACGUCUUGACGGUACCUAAUCAGAAAGCCACGGCUAACUACGUG